ensembl:lncRNA
CAUGAGUCAAAGAAGAAACCGCAGCUUCAAAAACAAGCCUAAUAGACUUAUAGCGUGUUUAUUACGGUCAAUGAAUGAGACUGCAACAGUCUGAAGCUCAACAAUCAAAGAUUUAUUUUGCAAAAAUAAUCAAACGUCAACAACGCUCAUCCACUCAUCUCUGACCACCUGCGAGCAAAAUAUGAGAGAUGGAAAAAGAGGGGAUUCUCACUACGUAGUUUGCUAUGUCACCAUUCAUUAGCUUAUUACACUCAUAUGUAUCGAUAAUAUUCAAUAAUUAUACUAAAUUGAUGCUAGUUUACAUUGUAAUGUAUAUUACUGCCUUUCUUAUAUAAUCAAUAAUAGGCUAAUACCCAGAUUGUUGCUAGUUUACAGUACACUCUUUUAAACUGCUGCUGGUGUGCACUGUUAUGUUAAGUGUUUCUUUAUUUUAUUUUUGUCUGGCUCUAUUUUUGCUUAUACAUUCCCCACUCUCACUACGUAGUUGUCGGGUGCCAUGACACAAUAAUUUAAUUGCUCAGGAUGACGCUGUGUUGCUCGGUCCAUUUGACAAAUAAACGUUGAAACUUGUAACAUCGCUUGGAAUUCUAACUAGAUUUUUCAACAAUGGGAGGGAGGUGGGGGUGGGAAAGAUCCACGUGGGGAUACUACAGCACUACAUUGCUGUGAGGCUGUGAGCAGACAGUGUCAAUCAAUGCAUUUAGGGAAAGUAGCGACCAUAAAUGUACAGAAACGAUGUCGCUUGUCAGAUUUUCCUAACAAGCGACCAAACAUUUUAAAACAAUCCCCAAAAAACCGAGACCAGUAAUUAUUUCAAGCUCUUCUCCCUUAAUUCCACUGCAGUGUAUGUGGUUAUUGCCAUCGUGUGUCGAAUACAGACAAUAAAAGCGACAUACGAGAAAAAAAAGAAAAAAAACAGUAUUUACACACAGUAUGAACGUAUUAGGGAAUCGCAUACUCAAUGGAAUCCAUUACACCUGAUGCGCAGGGUUGAGCCGAUUAUGACGUAAGCGUCGUUCUCCAUUCAGUUAAAGCGGUUGCAUUGACGCAACAAUGUAAAAGACCUGUAAAAGCAAGUGCUUUCAGCAGAGCGGUUCAUAACCAAACUGAACAAUCAUCUGAGCAAAACUACCUACUUUAAGACUGUAAGACUGGAUCAGGUCUGGCUGUCUUUGCCUUGGUGUUGCUAGAAGGCAGUGUUCUAACCAUCGCUGAUACACAAGACCAGUUCAGCUUCUUCCUGGGGUUCCCCUGUGAUAACAUGCAGCCUGGACUGUCAACCAGUAAUGUCCGGAAGUAAAAGGCUUCUUGCUUUUGGGUAUUAUACCAGAUCUUCUGUGUCAUCCCUUCUGCUAAGUCCUGCUAAUGUAUGUGUUCUCGGAGUGUUGUGUAGCUGCAGCAACAGGUGACCACCAUUCUUAACCAGCUUCCUCCUGCUCCCAGACCAGCGAGACCCACACCUGACCCACACAUACCAAGAGGCCAUGGACAAACUGAUAAAGGGUGUGCCUAAUGUCAGAGAGGAACCCUGCUCGGAACACUAAAUCAAACCCUGACAACCUAUAGGACACACUGGAGACAUGCAUGUGUGUGUGUGUAUAUAUAUAUAUAUAUAUAUAUGUGUGUGUAAACUUGUGAGCACCAUGACCAAUCAGCAAAAAAAAGAUACUGGGACAUUUUGGCGGUCCUAUUCUGCAAUUUGGAAACGUCAAUGAUAAUGUGUGUAGACCAAAAUAUCUGAAAAAUAUUUAUGUAAUUUAGAUGAAAUUGGGAAAAAAAUUAUGUUAUUUGGCAUAAGAUUAUUCUUAAAAAUUCUUAUCCGGCACAGCCAGAAGAGGACUGGCCCCUCAGAGUCUGGUUCCUCUCUAGGUUUCUUCCAAGGUUUUUGACCCUACUUGGGAGUUUUUCCUAGCCACUGUGCAUCAAUGUAUUGUUCUUGCUUGCUCUUUGGGGUUUCUAGGCUGGGAAUCUGUGCAUUUUGUGAGAACAGACAAUAUAAAAAUGGCUUUAUAAAAUAAAAUGUGUUCAUUGCUUACAUCAGAUGUGGUUUUGCCUUCAUUAAAAAUCUUUAUAGUGGAAAUGGGUGUGAUUUGUCUUGGUUGUGCUCUUUUGCAGAAUAAUAACAGACCCAAGUCAGGGGGAGAAGCUUUCAUUCACAAAAUAUAGUACACGUCAGCCUUCUUUCCAUCUCUUUCUUGGCCUUUCCAGCUGUCUUUGUGCUUCCCCAAAUAUCUCUGUCUUAAACAGCAUAUUUAUUCUUGACUGGACCUUCAACACAUCCCAUGCACUAUCUGGCUGUCUUCCAAUCAUAUACGUGUAUUCUAAAUCUUAUCCUUGUAGGGCCUGGUAUAGUGUCCCAUCUUGAGAUCUUGGCUCCACACAUUCCCACUUAGCAGGUUGUAUGGGAGCCUCUUCAACUGUUUGUGAUACGGUACUUCAUACAGCACAAGAUAACGAAGUACCAAUCCUCGGUUUUGUGUUUCUAAACAAGAGAAUAGAACCAAAAUAAAUGUAUAUAAUAAAUGUAUAAAGACAUGCUUUCUCACAAUUCCCCCCAUGACUUUAAAAUACCACAUUUAUAUGUCAGAACAACUAGUCUAUAUAGCAUAUCAGCACUACCCAUGUAAUAAUAAGAAAAUUAAAAACAGUUACAAAUAAUAAAGCAAGCUCAUUCAUCUCACCACAAGUGUGAGAGGUACAGUUGUGGUUACUAUGCAUGCAUAUUCAAAUGAAUGACAGACAGUGGUAUUCAAAUUUGGCAUGGCCUUUGCUCUGGAAUGUGCCGUGGGAGCAUGCGCCUUACCUUGAGCGACAGACCCCUGCCAAUAGCACACUUGACAAGUUGUACCAAGAUAAAAAAGAUCAACACUACAACCACCGCUGGCAUAAUCAUGUUCAGCAGAGAACCUCCCAAUUUACAAAAAAUAGAUGACAACCAUGUAGAAAAACCUACAUCAAUCAUCAGGAUUGUGAUUAUGGUAUUUGGCACCUUCCUCACGGAUCUUACCAGCCAAAUCAGUCAGUUCUUCAGAGUUAUCAGGUAUGUACGUACAACACUAAAUUCCAAUAACUGCACAGGUUCCCCCUGAGCAGACAAUAUGUAGUCAAGAGCAAGUCUAUUUUGCAUUGCAACAGUACGAAGGGCAACCAUUGCAGCUGACUGUAAUUUCAGACUUUCAGAGGUCAUGUUAGCGAAAGCCUCCAAAGAGCUAGCCACACUAAUAACUUCUCCUGCCAACAUGGCAGUGCCAUAGGGAGGGAAUGCAAUAGCAAAAACCUGUUCCGUUUCAGUGAUGGCUCGUGUAUGUCGUGUUUUAAAGGGAGAAUAUGUACUCAGUCUCACAUGUGGAAUUACAUAACUCAAAUAACAUGAUCCUCGCCAUAAAGGUGGGAGCCAUGGAUAGGCAUUGGGGCUGCAAAUGAAGUGAGUUCCGUUAGGAGCAAUCAUGCCCGUAGUUAUUAAGUUAGCUAUGGUGUUGGCAUAAAAUACAGUUGCAGUCCCAUUAUUGAGGGUUAUAUUGGCAUACAUAAAACACUCAGGGUCUGCUGUUUUGGUUGCAAUACAAACCAAAAGCAUCAGAAUAUUGUUCCGUUAGACUUUUGGAUUGUUCUUGCUGUAUACACAACCAUCCCCUAGGCUGAUUAGUAACUACUAUAUGUGGUGGACGACGCCAGAAAUCAGGGCUGUUCCUAUUAAAGGCUGGCAUAUAACUAUGACGCCAUGAUUUCACAGGCACACCUAAAGAUGUUACAUGAUCCUGGACAGUAAUACAUCCAGAUUGAUUAGGUUCCCUUCAACAGGGGUCAGACGCAUUUGGUCCACGAGAGUGCAAGUAGCUAUCAUUAACACCCCAAUUUUUGUAUAUAGAAAAUUUGAACCAACUGAGGUCUUUCCAGAUCCCUAACAUCUCAGACUGAUUGAAUGGAAUGACUCCCUAACAUCUCAGACUGAUUGAAUGGAAUGACUCUCUAACAUCUCAGACUGAUUGAAUGGAAUAACUCCUAAGGGAAUACCUCCGUUAGCGGUGAAAAGGCUGUGGGUACAAAUCCAACAACUACUCUGGUUAACCGUCCUGGCAAAUUGUAGGGAGAGGGCCAAACAUGUAUUAAUACCAUGAUGACCAUCCUCGUGAGUAUGGUGUCUAUGUUUGGGACUAGAGCACCACCACUCUGUACCACCAGGAAACACACAGAAACAAUUACCAUGAACAGAAUGAUCUACAAAUGGAAAAUAUGUAUGACAGCUAGCUGAUUGAGAAAGAUAUUGGUUAAAGCCCUGAACUACCCAAUUUACUAUUCAAGGGCUAAACGUUUUUAAAUCUUCAUUUGUGAUUGUUGAUUUCUUUCUUUGGCAAUGUUAAUCUAAUAAGAUCAGGUGUGUAAGCAGUUGAGUAUUUCAAAUACAUGGAAUAACUGGGGGUUCCAGAGGAGUUUUCAUAACCACUGCAAAAAUCCUCACACCAUGAAAUCUCUAGUCCAGAAUCCAAACCAGUAAAUCUACAGUAUAUCGCCUGUGGUAGUAACUACAUGAACAUCUUUUAAGAAUGAACAUUUUAUUUCUUGUUGAUUUUCUUUAAGUCCUAGACACAUGAUGGUGCAGAUGGAAAAACUCUAGAUACCUUGAGGGAACAGAGGACCAGACUACUUUCAGGGCAUGUCCUCCUGAGUCAGUUUACUGCUCCCAGUACCUCUACAGUUCCAGCCUAUCUCAUACAGUCUGAAAAACAACCAUG